UACGAAGGGGGCUAGCGUUGUUCGGAUUUACUGGGCGUAAAGCGCGUGUAGGCGGGUCUGUAAGUUGGGGGUGAAAUCCCGGAGCUCAGCUCCGGAACUGCCUUCAAGACUGCAGGCCUGGACCCAAGGAGAGGCUAGGGGAAUUCCGAGUGUAGAGGUGAAAUUCGUAGAUAUUCGGAGGAACACCAGUGGCGAAGGCGCCUAGCUGGGCUUGUGGUGACGCUGAGACGCGAAAGCGUGGGGAGCAAACAGG
rnacentral:rRNA from 1 species